UUAGAUUUUUAUCAUCUACAACUUUUACCAGGUUGGAGGGCAGAUCUAGUUGAAGUGCAAAGGUUGGCAAGUGGACAGAGGCUGGCUUGUAUUGAUAUGCAUGUUAAUGUUCCCUGGCAAUGAGAGCUUGAAACCAGUUUUUGCUUCAAGCGUAUCAAAGGUCCAAGAUCACAACAUGGAUGAAAGAGAUUGGCAGGAUGAUUAUCUGCAUUGCAAAUCCUUCAUUACAGCUGACCAUAAGUGUGUAGGAUCACUUGUUGCUUGUAUCCAUCUCCUGUAGUCUGAACGAUUUACAAUACCUGUGAUAUUGUUUGGCCAUCUUGGUGGCCGUUUUAUCAAGGAAACAAAACCAACACUGAACUUCAGGUCUGUUUAUGUAUGCAGAUACCAGGAAGACUGACUUUGCCAUUGUUCUCAAUGAAUAAUAAGUCUGUAUCAAUAGCACUCCAGUCUUUAAAGAUUCAACUUUGGGUUUGCUUCCGUAGUUGAAGACCAUAAUAAAUUUAUGCUGUGAA